rnacentral:hammerhead_ribozyme from 1 species
AUCCAGCUAACGAGUUCAAAGUAGGAAGAAACGCGCGUCCUGGAU